GACCAGACUCCUACGGGAGGCAGCAGUGGGGAAUAUUGCACAAUGGGGGAAACCCUGAUGCAGCGACGCCGCGUGAGCGAUGAAGUAUUUCGGUAUGUAAAGCUCUACCAGCAGGGAAGAAGAUGACGGUACCUGACUAAGAAGCCCCGGCUAACUACGUGCCAGCAGCCGCGGUAAUACGUAGGGGGCAAGCGUUAUCCGGAUUUACUGGGUGUAAAGGGAGCGUAGACGGCGAUGCAAGCCAGAUGUGAAAGCCCGGGGCUCAACCCCGGGACUGCAUUUGGAACUGUGUGGCUGGAGUGUCGGAGAGGGAGGCGGAAUUCCUAGUGUAGCGGUGAAAUGCGUAGAUAUUAGGAGGAACACCAGUGGCGAAGGCGGCCUGCUGGACGAUGACUGACGUUGAGGCCCGAAAGCGUGGGGAGCAAACAGGAUUAGAUACCCGGGUAA
rnacentral:rRNA from 1 species